rnacentral:rRNA from 1 species
GCACUCCUACGGGAGGCAGCAGUGGGGAAUAUUGCACAAUGGGCGCAAGCCUGAUGCAGCCAUGCCGCGUGUAUGAAGAAGGCCUUCGGGUUGUAAAGUACUUUCAGCAGUGAGGAAGGUGGAUAUGUUAAUAGCAUAUUCAUUUGACGUUAGCUGCAGAAGAAGCACCGGCUAACUCCGUGCCAGCAGCCGCGGUAAUACGGAGGGUGCGAGCGUUAAUCGGAAUUACUGGGCGUAAAGCGCAUGCAGGUGGUUUGUUAAGUCAGAUGUGAAAGCCCGGGGCUCAACCUCGGAAUUGCAUUUGAAACUGGCAAACUAGAGUACUGUAGAGGGGGUAGAAUUUCAGGUGUAGCGGUGAAAUGCGUAGAGAUCUGAAGGAAUACCGGUGGCGAAGGCGGCCCCCUGGACAGAUACUGACACUCAGAUGCGAAAGCGUGGGGAGCAAACAGGAUUAGAUACCCUGGUAG